rnacentral:ncRNA from 1 species
UCGUUAUCCAGAGUGGUGGAGGGACUGGCCCGAUGAAACCCGGCAACCCGCCUGCGCAUGUUCGCAGGCAAGGUGCCAAAUCCUGCAACGCCCAGGCGUUGAGAGAUAAGGA